AGCAGCCGCGGUAAUUCCAGCUCCAAUAGCGUAUAUUAAAGUUGUUGCAGUUAAAAAGCUCGUAGUUGAAUUUCGGGAUCAACCUAUCGGUCGUGCAAUAGUACGUACUGAUUUUAUUGAUUCCUCCCUCCUGAUGAACUAUGAUGUCAUUAAUUUGGUGUCAUAGGGAAUCAGGACUGUUACUUUGAAAAAAUUAGAGUGUUUAAAGCAGGCUCACGCUUGAAUACAUUAGCAUGGAAUAACGAAAUAGGACGUUUGAUUCUAUUUUGUUGGUUUCUAGGAUCGACGUAAUGAUUAAUAGGGAUAGUUGGGGGCAUUAGUAUUCAAUUGUCAGAGGUGAAAUUCUUGGAUUUAUUGAAGACUAACUACUGCGAAAGCAUUUGCCAAGGAUGUUUUCAUUAAUCAAGAACGAAAGUUAGGGGAUCGAAGACGAUCAGAUACCGUCGUAGUCUUAACCAUAAACUGUGCCGACUAGGGAUCGGAUGAUGUUAAUUUUUUAUG
rnacentral:rRNA from 1 species